rnacentral:rRNA from 1 species
UACGAAGGGGGCUAGCGUUGCUCGGAAUGACUGGGCGUAAAGGGCGCGUAGGCGGAUGGCACAGUCAGAUGUGAAAUUCCCGGGCUUAACCUGGGGGCUGCAUUUGAUACGUGUUGUCUUGAGUUCGGAAGAGGGUCGUGGAAUUCCCAGUGUAGAGGUGAAAUUCGUAGAUAUUGGGAAGAACACCGGUGGCGAAGGCGGCGACCUGGUCCGACAGCUGACGCUGAGGCGCGAAAGCGUGGGGAGCAAACAGG